AUGGCAUCAUUCAAUCCUGUUGAUUCAUUUGCUGCUUAUGAUCAAGAGAAGUUGGUCAAGCUUGCCCACUUUUAUCCUAAGGAUUUCUCAAAGACGGAAAUAUUGAAACUUCCUUAUGAAUUGUCAAUGUUUAUUGCUGAUAUGCGUAGAGAUGAAAGAUUUAGAAAGGUGAAGAAUAUUGCCCAACUUUCAGCCAAGCUUGUUGAGACAAAGAAGAACAUAUCAUAUGCCAUUGUUUACAAGCUUCUCAAGUUGGUCUUAAUUCUUCCGGUGGCGACUGCUAGUGUUGAGAGGGUCUUCUCUUCGAUGAAUUAUGUGAAGAAUAAGUUAAGAGCCAAAAUGGGGGAGCAAUAUUUGAAUGAUUGCUUGGUUACUUUUCUUGAGCGUAAAUUCUUCAUGCAAGUAAAGGAAGACACCAUCAUUUCUCGCUUACAAAAGGGUGAUCGUAGAGUUAAAUUUUGA
rnacentral:rRNA from 1 species